rnacentral:lncRNA from 1 species
CUCAACACUUGAUUAAAAUAAAAUAAAAUAAUAAGAUAAUAUAAAUUUUGGACAACAUGUCUUUUAAAAUGGAGCAACCUCAAAAUCAACAACAAAGAAAUCUUUGCUCCAAAAUAAUAUAAAUAUCCUCCAAAAUGUCAAAUCAUAAAUGGGCAUGCUCUUCACAAUCAACAAUAAAGUCUCAGUUCAGCACUCUAUCUUCUAGUAUUUUCAAAAUUCCAUAAUUUAACAUCUUCACAUGAAACCUUUUCCAUUUUAACCUCUGACAUAGUAUCUUGCUAUCCUCAAAAUUUCAACUUAAACCGAUUAGUACAGCUAGGUCAAAUUCUCGCUCAAAGAUGGUACUCAAAUUUAUCUCAGCAAGGCAAAACAGGAUUUUUAUCAUCAUCACAGCCACGCUCUAAAAUUCACUGUAAAUCGUAGGUUUACUAUUUUGGCAUGAAACCACCUCUGGGAUCUUCUAUACUCAGUACACUAUCAUCCCUCAAAAUUUCAACUCCAACUAAAGUGUUUAGCUAGGUGAAACAUUGCUUCAAAGUUCAGUGUUCAGUAAAUUCGUAGGUUAUUGACAACCCAUACUAAAACUGCCAUAACUUCUAGCUCGUUACUCCGAUUGACGCAAAAUCAGCGCCCAAAUAAACUAGAAAUCAUACACUACAACUUCCAUUGAGCAGUCGAUCACCCAAUCACAAUAAAACUGCUCCGAAACACUGCCCAAAAACAGGACAGCAAACUGAAUUUAAAAGUUUAUACCUUCUAUCGUUGAUAUUGCAACCUCACACGACUAUCCCCCACCUUUACUACAACUACCAGACCUGUAAUUUGGCUUCUCUUCUCCCACUUUUGUUGUUACCCACACACAACAGCCAUAUAACCUCCAUCUCGGACCAUUGCUCAGCAGCCAGCGGCUCCUCCUCCGCCAUCUAACAUCAACAAUCACUACUGCAUAUGACUUCCACACACACAACUUUGUUUCCCUCCUGUGCUACUGUUCUCACAACCUUCAACAUCCUUCUCUACUACUCCAUCUACCAAACGCAGCCACACCACAUACUUGCUCCACUACUACCUGUCUCAAUGUCUAACAGCUAUUUCUAUGAAUAACAACCUUGCUUUCUUCCUCCGAUUCAAACCCAACCACAUAUCAAUUCUCUCGCGAGCCGUCGUCCUCUCCAACUCCAAUGAGACCUCACCACCGCCCUGUUCAAACCAGCCUCCUUCAACUACAACUCCAUACCCAGCUAUAACAUAUGCACCCACAUACAAAACUCGACAACCAAGCAUCUCCUCCUUGCGACACCAGCCAAACACAACUCUUUUAAUACCCUCAUCCUCUCCUGUGCCCAUCUCUGAGAACUACAGUCCACCACCGACUGUCUAAGCCGUAGCCUCGCUAUCGUCAAAUCGCCUCCUGUAAUCUCCGUCUCCGUCGACCCCCUGCAACCACGCCGUUGCUAACCAACAAUAACACAACACCUCCAUACGCACCUGAGUCGUCGCCGCCCUUCUGAGACACCAGUCAAAACGGCCAGCCACCUCCGUUCAUCAAUCACUCCCGAACUCCGACCACCACAACAGCCUCCAUCCCUAACUCGAUUCUCAACAACAGAUGAAUACACACAGUGGUAUACACGCGUGCAAGAAAACUCAUGAAUUAAAUCUCACCUGAUUUCGCUGGUAAUUGAAAUCGAUUGAACUGAAAUUUUAAGAAACCCUAAAUCUCUCGGCCUUAUCUCUGUUUUUCGCUCUCCACCGCCUCCCCUGUUGCUGCUGUGUGUACCCUCUUUUUGUUUAAAAAGAAAAACAAUAUUUAUAUACAAUAACAG